CCUCUGCCCACUCAUAACUUCACACUUUUCCCCAAGCUGCCUUUGCCUGGAACAGGUUCCUUAAAAGAAACAUGAAGCCUCUUCUCUUUUUCUCUUUCAAAAAAUUAAUCUCCUCCGAGCCCAUCUGCUCUAGAAAGCCAUCCAGACACAAUGGCUGCUCUUCCCCUUCGACAGGCCACAAGGCCAGCAAACAUCACGGCACCUCAGGUGUCCCUAGUCCUGCAGAUGGACAUCACUUCCUGCCUAUCUGUCCUGCAGGAGCAGGGGAAUGAGGCAGGCAAGGCUGCUACAGCUUGGCGUCAAGGACUGAAGGGGGAUGAAGGGCGUCCCGCAGCCCCAGUGACCAGUCAAGGCAGGUGUGCUGAGGCAGGGAGGGAUGGAGAGCAGGAGACUCCUGGAGUCAGGAGUCCUGGGUUCACAGCAUCGUUCCUCCCUUACCCAGCAUGUGACCUUGGGAAGGGUGUUCUACCUUCAAGUGUCUGCGCUUUCUCAUCUGAACACCAGGAGGCCUGACCAGAGAAGAGGAAGACAAGUCUCCCUUCCCUAGAGGCUGGAAUUAGGAGGCGAUCCCUUCUCCCUGAGACCGGCACAACUGCUCUUCCAUCUACAGCCAGGCAGGCCAAGACAGUACACGUGAUAUUUGGCACGUCCAUCUGUGGAGGGAAUGAACUCUGCCCAAAUUCACCCAUCAAUUAAGGUCUGUUCAAAGUCAAUGAAGAUACAGAACGCUUUUACAAAAGGUCACUCGCACUGCAAACCACAAAUUGUCAGCCUCCUGUCAAGUGGAAUGUCAAAACAUCUCAGUAGAACGGGAACUCUUGAUAUUGUUUGGUGUAUGAGAAUUGGGUUAUUUUUCGUUUCCUCCAAAUUCUUACCGUGGCCGGAAGGCAAGUGGGAAAGCUUUUGCUAUUGGUCCCACGACUGUCUUUCUCAGUCACUGAAAGUGAAGAGGAAGUUAAAUGGCCAAGCGUGAUGGCAGUCUGCCACGGAGGAUUUUGAGACACAACAGCAUCUCCCAAUCGACUCCUGUAAUCAGGGUGCUCUGUUGACACCUUUGACGCCCCAGGGGCUUGUGUUGAUGAAUCUGCAGGGCAGCGACAACUCCAUCCGGGGUGUUCAGCGAUGGCAAUUUAACCAAAUCCAAAGCACCGCAGUCCGAUUGGCUGAAUGACUCAUAUGGGCAGGGAAGAUUCAGAUACUAUAUUACAAUCAGGUGUUCUGGCCAGAACGACCAGCUAAUUCCAAUUCUGAUUCAUAGCAUAAUCGCUCACCUGGUCCCUGAGUAAUGACCAAAGGGUCUCUGGGUUUUUAAAGAAUCGCAGAAGUGUGUGUGUGCCAUUUUCUCUGGCAGAACAUGGGUCUUACUUUGUCGCCCAGGCUGGAGUGCAGUGAUGCUGUCAUGGCUCACCGCAGCCUCAACCUCCCAGACUCAAGCUGUCCUCCCACCUCAGCCUCACGAAUAGCUGGGACUACAGCAAACAUUUAGCACCUGUGAGGCAUAGUUCUCAGCACUGGGGGCCCCUGAAGGCUAUGCAGAUGUGGAUCCUGCCCUAAAGAGCUUUACUACUAAGGUGGGAACAUACAUGGUCACACUACAAUACAGGCACGGUAGGGCCUGAAGGGAAGAUAUGAUCACAUGCUAAGGGAACUCCCACUUCCUAGUUCCUCCAGAUGGUGCUAUGUCCAGGCAGGUAAAUUUGGGGGGUAGGUCCCCACCCAGUCUGAUGUGUUCUUCCCACAUGCUAGGUUGGCCUUAUGGGUUCCAGAGGGAACAGUGUUUCCAGGCUGUGCUUUUAUCUUAUGGACUGGAAAAGCAUGCCUGACAUGGCCAUGUUCCCUCCCUGGCCAGUUGCCAAAGAACCUGGUUCAAAGGCCUAUAAAGGAGCUGGAUCAGGAUGGCUCUCCCAGAGGGAAAAUGAACUAGCAAACUGCAGGGCUUCGUGUCCCCAAGGGCCUGGAAGGCAAAGGAAUCUAAGGAGAAAGGAUGAAAGUGCUAAGAGAGUGGACAUUUCUGGGGCAAAAAUGUUUUGCUCACCAACCACCAAAUGGGAACCACACCAGUGGCUGAGGCUGGCGAGGGUCACUGAAUCAGUUUCUUAUGAGUGUUCUUUACACCAAAUGGAUCAAAAAAAAUUGUUCCCCAAGAUGCUGCAAAAACAGCAUGUCCUUCUGUUGUUUCACAAAUGACAUUUAAGCAGCUGAGUGUAUUGGGGAGGGAGGCAGGGGCAGGAACAAGAGCAGGAGAGCUCGGGCCAGGAGGGAGGGAGGGAGGAAGUCAGGGGCAGCUCCUGGUGGUGCAGGGAGUCUUAUUUGAAAAUUGACGAGGAAAAAGGCAGGGACUGAAGACCAGGGAGGAAAUCAGGACCCAGCAGGUGGCUCGAGCUUGAUUUUUCAGCCUCAAGAGCAACAACUUGCAAAAGGGUCCUCAUGUGAGACCACCCUUCUCUUAGGGGAAACUGGUGGGAGAGGAAGAAGAGGGGGCCUCCCUGUGAACCCUGGACUCUAGGGGGACUGCUUGGGGAGAAAACAGUGGAGGCCACCUGUGAAACUCAGAAAGGGGAUGGAGCAAGAGAUGUCUCAGUGGCCUCCCCUCCCACACCCAGUCCCACCACCCACAUCGUUAAAGAUCCAGCCUCAGUCCUUUUUUUUUUUUUUUUAGCUUAUGGUAUGACUUUGGGAGGGAAUUUCUGAUUUAGUAGCUGCAGCUAAAUUAGUAUCAAGGAACAUGUCCUCAGCAAUGCUGGAGGAGAAAGGGAGGAUGCUCAUGGCGCGGGGGCAGGAGCAAGUACUAAUCACAAAGCAUUUCUCUUGGCAAAAGGGCCUGUUUUCACUGGCAGGAAUGCUGCCAAGUAGGGGCAGUAUUUUCUGAGCACCUCACGGCAGGCACCAGGCACGCUGUAUAUAGUGUGACAUUGAUCCUGCUGCAACUCAGUGGUGCAGAGCUUUGUAAUAUCCAUUUUACAGAGAGGAAAACUGGGGCUCAGAGGGGCCAACUGACUAGCCAAGGUCUCACAGCAAGUGAUGGCAAAGCUAGAAUGGGAAACUGGGCUUCUCUCACCCCCAAGGCCAGGAUUUUUCCUCUGCUUCCUGUGGACAAAAGAUGAAAACAAAACGAAACAAUGACAGGAGAGAGGAGGGAAGGAAGCCACGUGGAUGAUGAGAAGGAAACAAUUCCCGCUUCCAGGAACCGAGGGGGAGACAAUGGGAAGGAAGAGACAACAAAACCAGAGAAACCCACACAACUCUGAAGGAUGACAGUGUGAUGUUAAGAAGUUGAAAUUUUAAAACAAAUAAGUUAGGGAGACAUUUUUCACAUUAUAAAAGUCAUAUUUAUUUAACAAAGUGAUUUUCUGAAGAGUUACUUUGAGUAGGUGGCUCCCUCCAUUUAAAUGAAAGUCUUUCAUUAGAAAUGCUUUUUGUGUUUUGUUGUGCUGUGAUUUUCAGAGACAGGAGUUCCUGAGAAGGAAAACACCUGAAGAGGCCUCCACCGUCUCAAGUAUGCUCUCCCAGAAGGGCUUGUUUGUGUCCAGAGUUUGCAGCCUUCAGGAAUCCUCAUAAAGUACAAGGACAGGCUUGCAUCCCUAACACCCAGGACAUAUGGGUCUUAAAGUAACGGGAGAAUGCAAAGGGAAGUUACCUAUUUCAAAAUUUUGCCCUGGGCUACAACCACGUAAAAGUGAGUUACAGCUGAAAACAAUGAAAGAAAAGACUUAGAACCCUAAGUCCCAAGCACAAGUCUCCCAAACAAAAAUUUAAUAAAUUUUGGAGACAGACCCCAGAGCCUUUUAGUGGAGGCAGACGUAGGCAUGAUUAAUAUGAUUUGUAACUGCUAAGGCCAUCACUGAGCUUGGCUACAUCUUCCCCCACACAGUGCAUUUCAAAAGGCCUGUUAUCUCCGGAAAGGUUGGUUAAGUGUCUCUGGUAAUUAUGUCUCUAAGAAACAAUACUCUUCUCCUCAUUAAAUGUUUCAGUGGGUGGCCCUGCUGAAGGCCGAACUUAACCCUGGAGCUACAGAGCCCAAGAGGGCAGGGAAAGGGGCCACCAAGGAGUUGUCCAACUCUAUCAGCCAAGGUGAGGCUGUUUAUUGGGUUGAAAACUGCUUUAAUUAGGGGCCUAGGCAAAGAAGCAGAGAAGUGACUGCUGUAUAAGUGACUUGAAGAGAUAAAGGUACUAGGAGUUGGAGGCUUGCCCAAGUCCGUUCCACCCUGGUCUUGGUUUGGAGUGGCAGGUGUGAACUCUAAAGCCAGUUCCACAUUUGCAACUCAUUAUCUCUAUGACCAGGCAGCUGAGAGCCACUCUCCCCGAAUAGAAGGUGGACUCUUGCCAGAUCUGACCCAACAGCACGUCCCUGUCGCCCAAAUACAUAUCUUCCAAAUAAACUGCAAAUAGGAUGUGAUACCAGAAGCCCAGAGUUGUGCCUGCUUUGGAGCCGGAGUUCUAACCUAGAGGUAGACAAGUCUGUGUCAUUCCACAAACAUUGAUCAAAUCCAUGUUGUGCACAGAACAAUGUGUGAAGAGGCUGGAGCUGCACUGUCCCUAGGAACUCGAAAUGAACCUGUCCAGGGCCUUAUUGCCGGGAGUGCAAUCAAAAUUGAGCAGAUAGAACUAAGAGAGAUAAAGGAGGGAGAUGGACCAGAUAAAUGUGGAGGAGGGAAACAGAAACAGGAAAUCUCGGAGAGCCAGCUGCUUGGUUCUAACCUGUGGGAUGCAACAGAAGAUGAACCAGCACUGGAAGGUUAGAAAAUCCAUAUGAGCUAAUCCUCGUUCCCCAAACUCAGGACCACUAUUCACAAGAAAAGGCAACCUUUGCAAAAGGGCCUCUGUCCGAGACCAUCCUCCAUCUGAGACCACCCUCCUCUUGUGGGGCAGGAGCUUGGUGGCAGCAGCUGAGGAAGUGAAAGGAGAAGCCUCUCUGUGGCAGUAAAUAUGCAGGUCAAAUCUCAUACAAAGCUGAAGAAGGAUUAGAAGGAGAAGGAAGAGAAGGAGAAGGAAAAGGAGGAGGGAGAGAAGAAGAAGAGCAUGCCUACUGAUAAUGAAUGCAUGCUGAAAGUGGACCCAAAAAACCAUCAAACUUGCAGCAUGUUACUUUAAAAUGAACUAAAGGCCUUUAAAAAUGAUAUAAGACCUGAAAUAAUAUUAAAACAUAAUGUUAGCAAUGAAAACUAAACCAGAAGGAACACAAAGGCCAGUACAUAAAACAGAAGAUGCUGAAAAGAAAUGAGAGGUGAAAAAGAUAAGUUUUUUAAAAUCAAGAAAAAAAAAGAUAAAAAGGAACUCAGGGCUGGACGCGGUGGCUCAGGCCUGUAAUCCCAGCACUUUGGGAGGCCGAGGAGGGUGGAUCACGAGGUCAAGAGAUCGAGACCAUCCUGGUCAACAUGGUGAAACCCCGUCUCUACUAAACAUACAAAAAAUUAGCUGGGUAUGGUGGUGUGUGCCUGUAAUCCCAGCUACUCAGGAGGCUGAGGCAGGAGAAUUGCCUGAACCCAGGAGGCGGAGGUUGCGGUGAGCCGAGAUCGCGCCAUUGCACUCCAGCCUGGAUAACAAGAGCGAACCUCCGUCUCAAAAAAAAAAAAAAAAGAA